AUUGAACGCUGGCGGCAGGCCUAACACAUGCAAGUCGAACGAGUGGCGGACGGGUGAGUAAUGUCUGGGAAACUGCCUGAUGGAGGGGGAUAACUACUGGAAACGGUAGCUAAUACCGCAUACCAUCGGAUGUGCCCAGAUGGGAUUGGCGAGUCGGUGGGGUAACGGCUCACCGAGGCGACGAUCCCUAGCUGGUCUGAGAGGAUGACCAGCCACACUGGAACGGAGACACGGUCCAGACUCCUACGGGAGGCAGCAGUGGGGAAUAUUGCACAAUGGGCGCAAGCCGGAUGCAGCCAGGCCGCGUGUAUGAAGAAGGCCUUCGGGUUGUAAAGUACUUUCAGCGAGGAGGCGUUACCCGCAGAAGAAGCACCGGCUAACUCCGUGCCAGCAGCCGCGGUAAUAC
rnacentral:rRNA from 1 species